GUUCCAGUUCCCGCCAAUAUCCAGCAAUUUCGCACAGCCAUUGAACAGGAGUAGGACAACAUUCCACAGGCCAUAAUCAACAGCCUGAUCAACUCUAUGCAAAGGAGAUGUGUCACACUGCAUGAGGCAAAUGGUGGUCCCACCAGAUACUGACUGGUUUUCUGAUCCACACCCCUACCUUUAUCAAGGUGUCUGACAAACAGAUGCAUAUCUGUGUUCCCAGUCAUGUGAAAUCCAUAGAUUAGGGCCUAAUGAAUUGAUUUGAAUUGACUGAUUUCCUUUAUAUGAACUGUAACUCAGGAAAAUCUUUGAAAUUGUUGCAUGGUGCGUUUAUAUUUUUGUUCAGUAUAUAAUAGCACACAGUCAAUAAGGUGAAUACGUAUAAAAUAAUUCCUCUCAAUCGCCUCUCUGUUCUUUUCCAGGUCCAGGUGCUCUCUUGCAAAUAAGCAUUAGCAGUAUAUCUGUCAGCGGAGGGACCACCCUACCUGGAGGGCUGUGGCCCCACAGAAGUAAGAGAGUGUGGCCCCACAGAGCAUCAGUAGAACACGCCUGACUCUCCUCCACCAGUCAUACAAGGAGAAUGGUCUAAUGCCUCCCAUCAAAAAGAGAGCUGUCCCAAGCUUGCACAGGUUACAACUGAAGCAUGAGGACUUGCUGCGAGUGGUGAACUUCAUCAACAACGACACAGAGGAAAAUGCAAUAGUAUUACCACACCCAGGACACAAACACUUUGGUGGAAAGCUGCUGCCAUCCCAUGUGACAAAAGCAGCAGUGUGGCGUCUCUACAAGGAAUCAAUGACAACACUUGAGGUACGUGUAGUCGGGCUGUCUUCCUUCAGGAAUCUGUGGAGAAAAUUGCUGCCCCACAUCUCAAGCACUAAGCGGAGGACAGACUUGUGCUGGCAGUGGCAGAGGAACAACUAUCAGGUCUUCAGAUCUGCCAGAAGCUGUUAA
rnacentral:lncRNA from 1 species